CAUUAAGUAACUUAAACGUAAGUAAUGAUCUCUUAAAUCACAAAAUGGUGAUUAACAAACACCCUUAAUG
rnacentral:tRNA from 1 species